rnacentral:misc_RNA from 1 species
GUGAAUCAUCGAAUUUUUGAACGCAAAUUGCACUCUCCUCGGAGAGUAUGCCUGUUUGAGGUUCAGCCUAUAAAAAAUCGACAUCGUUGCUGUUUCGCGGUGUCGUUCGUCGGAAUUUGGGUCAUCUUAAAUUCUUUUGGUUUUAAGCGACUUAAUAUUUUCUUUUUGGUUCCAUGAACGUUUCUAAGAUUUAUUUCUUUACACGUUUAAGGGUAUCGUUUUUUAUUAUAUGUGAUCAUCAUAUCGGAUCGCGUCCAUAAUCUUUCAUUAACUGACCUAAGACAGGUCAGAGUACCCG